rnacentral:rRNA from 1 species
GAUGAACGCUGGCGGCGUGCCUAAUACAUGCAAGUCGAGCGAACAGACGAGGAGCUUGCUCCUCUGACGUUAGCGGCGGACGGGUGAGUAACACGUGGAUAACCUACCUAUAAGACUGGGAUAACUUCGGGAAACCGGAGCUAAUAGCGGAUAAUAUAUUGAACCGCAUGGUUCAAUAGUGAAAGACGGUUUUGCUGGCACUUAUAGAUGGAUCCGCGCCGCAUUAGCUAGUUGGUAAGGUAACGGCUUACCAAGGCAACGAUGCGUAGCCGACCUGAGAGGGUGAUCGGCCACACUGGAACUGAGACACGGUCCAGACUCCUACGGGGAGCAGCAGUAGGGAAUCUUCCGCAAUGGGCGAAAGCUUGACGGAGCAACGCCGCGUGAGUGAUGAAGGUCUUCGGAUCGUAAAACUCUGUUAUUAGGGAAGAACAAAUGUGUAAGUAACUAUGCACGUCUUGACGGUACCUAAUGAGAAAGCCACGGCUAACUACGUG